rnacentral:lncRNA from 10 species
CUCUUAUCUCUCAAUUCCCAUUCAGAGGUACCAGGCAGUGAACUAAGGUUAAUUCUGAGAACUUCUCAACAUACUCAUCUGGCCCUGUGUGACCUUGAAAAAGUCAUUUAACUACCAGUCUUUUCUGUAAAGUAAGGAAUAUUCUUUCUUUUCUUUAUGAUUUAGAGACAGGGUCUUGCUUUGCUGCCGAGGCUGGAGUAUAGUGGCAUGAUCAUAGCUCACUGCAGCACUGAACUCCUGGGCUCAGGCAGUCCUCCCACCUCAGCUCCUAAGCAGCAGAGAUCACAGGCUUUCACUAAGAGCAUUUUAAAGAGUGACAGAUGGGAGCAGGCAUCUGCGUGAGGCUAAACAGACCCGGGCAAACACACCCAGCAGCUUCAACGAGCCGUGGCUGACUGAAGUUAAACCCUGUCCUCAAUGCCAGCACCUCCUCUGUGACCACCUGCUGAGCUGGUAACUGUGAUACCAAGUUCUCAGAAUGAGGACUACUCCAUGUCAGUGGGGUCUGAGGACACCCCAACUCAAGCCAAACUUUAAACAUCUGGAAGCCUCCUUGCAGAAGCUCUUCAGGUAAGAUCCCAAACAUUAUGUGUAGUCAGCCACCGCUCUGUUGUUCGUAUUGACCUAAAGAAACUGAGGCAAAAUUAAUAUACAGAGUUUACAGGCUACUGGCCUAGAGUCCACAGAGCAGGCGAUUACUUAGGUCAGGGUGGGGAGUGAGACGUAACUGCUGUCACAUUUCAAUGCCUCUCUGGGUCUGACAACUAAGGGGGCUCACAUCCCUCAAAGAAAAAGAUCUGUUCUUUUCUCACUCCUAUCACAGUCCAGCCGUCCUUCCACCUGGCUUGAAGCAUCCCCACACAGGGGCCACUUUACAAGGAAGGGCCUAGUGGCUGCUUCUCAUCUAUGGCUAAAUUAUUUUUUUGAAAAGGUUCUGAACACCCUUGAGAUCCUGGAUGUUUAAAAAAAAAAAGAGCUCUGAGUAUUUAUGUACUUUAGUCAAACUCUUCCACAUCUUCAGGAUUUCAGAGAGACUCGCAAAAAACUAAAAACAUAAUUAAGAACCUGAGGAAAAAGGCAAGCGUCCUGUUCUUUCUUUGAUAAGGUCUCAUUUUGGCCCAAUGGUGCUGGAGAAAAGGGUGAGGUAAGGUCCAUGGGGUGGGAAUGAGGCCAGAAGUCCUGAGUGCAUUCUUUAGAAGCCCCUGUGGAUGUGCAACCGGAAUCGCUGCAAGAUCCCUGCUGUGCCAGGGCGCCUGUGCUGGGAGUCAAGUCAAACAGUGGGGCAGGAUGAGAACAGGGUGAGCGCAGAUGGAGUGAGGUAGGAGUGGGCUGGGGGGAGCAGCUCUUCUAGAUGGGACCCUAGUACAUGUGUGGGGCCGGGUGAAGGGAUGGUGGCUGUUGUAUUGAACACUAGCCUUUCUCCCCAGUGCCAGGGCUGGAGGGGGUAGAGCCAGCCCUCUGGGGGUCACUCUGGGAGGGCCUGAGGAGGUGUUGGGCCAGGUGUGGUAAGGGAGAAGGGUAGCUGAGUGCACAGAAGAAAGGCUAACCACUUGCUAACCACUGAAGUCUCGUCCCACUGUUGGCCACUCACAAGACGUGUCUUCUACACUCACAGCCGAACUUCCAGCUCCCAAAUGGCCAGCAGAGCUCACCCCAUCACAGCCAGGCUCUGGUAGCUGGCAGAACUCACUCGCAGCUCCUCCCCUUAGCCCUUGCUCCACAGGGCCUCACCAUGGCUGCAGCACCUCGCCCAGAACGUUCCCAUGCUUGCACUCACAGGCCCUCCAGGGGAUGCCAGGUCAGAAAGUUCUCUCGUCCCAGCAUCUCUCUCCCCCCACCGCAGCUCUACGGCACCAGCUCCGGCACUUGCG